AUUGAACGCUGGCGGAAUGCUUUACACAUGCAAGUCGAACGGCAGCACGGACUUCGGUCUGGUGGCGAGUGGCGAACGGGUGAGUAAUGUAUCGGAACGUGCCCAGUCGUGGGGGAUAACGUAGUGAAAAUUACGCUAAUACCGCAUACGAUCUAUGGAUGAAAGCGGGGGAUCGCAAGACCUCGCGCGAUUGGAGCGGCCGAUAUCAGAUUAGGUAGUUGGUGGGGUAAAGGCCCACCAAGCCAACGAUCUGUAGCUGGUCUGAGAGGACGACCAGCCACACUGGAACUGAGACACGGUCCAGACUUCUACGGGAGGCAGCAGUGGGGAAUGUUGGACAAUGGGCGAAAGCCUGAUCCAGCCAUUCCGCGUGCAGGAUGAAGGCCCUCGGGUUGUAAACUGCUUUUGUACAGAACGAAAAGGUUUCUACUAAUACUAGGAGCUCAUGACGGUACCGUAAGAAUAAGCACCGGCUAACUACGUGCCAGCAGCCGCCGUAA
rnacentral:rRNA from 1 species